UACAGAGGGUGCGAGCGUUGUUCGGAGUUACUGGGCGUAAAGCGCACGUAGGCGGACUCUUAAGUCGGGGGUGAAAUCCUGGAGCUCAACUCCAGAACUGCCUUCGAUACUGGCGAUCUUGAGUCCGGGAGAGGUGAGUGGAACUCCGAGUGUAGAGGUGAAAUUCGUAGAUAUUCGGAAGAACACCAGUGGCGAAGGCGGCUCACUGGCCCGGUACUGACGCUGAGGUGCGAAAGCGUGGGGAGCAAACAGG
rnacentral:rRNA from 1 species